GAUGGACGCUGGCGGCGUGCCUAAUACAUGCAAGUCGAGCGAAUGGAUUGAGAGCUUGCUCUUAUGAAGUUAGCGGCGGACGGGUGAGUAACACGUGGGUAACCUGCCCAUAAGACUGGGAUAACUCCGGGAAACCGGGGCUAAUACCGGAUAACAUUUUGAACCGCAUGGUUCGAAAUUGAAAGGCGGCUUCGGCUGUCACUUAUGGAUGGACCCGCGUCGCAUUAGCUAGUUGGUGAGGUAACGGCUCACCAAGGCAACGAUGCGUAGCCGACCGGGGAGGGUGAUCGGACACAGUGGCACUUAGACACGGCCCAGCCUCCUACGGGAGGAAGCAGUAGGGAAUCUUCCGCAAUGGACGAAAGUCUGACGGAGCAACGCCGCGUGAGUGAUGAAGGCUUUCGGGUCGUAAAACUCUGUUGUUAGGGAAGAACAAGUGCUAGUUGAAUAAGCUGGCACCUUGACGGUACCUAACCAGAAAGCCACGGCUAACUACGUGCCAGCCGCCGCAGUAA
rnacentral:rRNA from 1 species